CACGCCGUAAACGAUGUCUACUUGGAGGUUGGUGUCUUGAACACUGGCUUUCGGAGCUAACGCGUUAAGUAGACCGCCUGGGGAGUACGGUCGCAAGAUUAAAACUCAAAUGAAUUGACGGGGGCCCGCACAAGCGGUGGAGCAUGUGGUUUAAUUCGAUGCAACGCGAAGAACCUUACCUACUCUUGACAUCCAGAGAACUUAGCAGAGAUGCUUUGGUGCCUUCGGGAACUGUGAGACAGGUGCUGCAUGGCUGUCGUCAGCUCGUGUUGUGAAAUGUUGGGUUAAGUCCCGCAACGAGCGCAACCCUUAUCCUUGUUUGCCAGCACUUCGGGUGGGAACUCCAGGGAGACUGCCGGUGAUAAACCGGAGGAAGGUGGGGACGACGUCAAGUCAUCAUGGCCCUUACGAGUAGGGCUACACACGUGCUACAAUGGCAUAUACAGAGGGCAGCAAGACCGCGAGGUGGAGCGAAUCCCACAAAGUAUGUCGUAGUCCGGAUUGGAGUCUGCAACUCGACUCCAUGAAGUCGGAAUCGCUAGUAAUCGUGGAUCAGAAUGCCACGGUGAAUACGUUCCCGGGCCUUGUACACACCGCCCGUCACACCAUGGGAGUGGGCUGCACCAGAAGUAGAUAGCUUAACCUUCGGGAGGGCGUUUA
rnacentral:rRNA from 1 species